UCCCAACCAUGAACACCUUUUAUUUCCCAGAGUCACACAGGGGUACAGCCGGGAUAGACGAUUGGUCUAGCCCUGGGGGAAAAAAGGCAGAAAGAGAUGAGGGUGCUGCUGGGCUGCUUCCCUGUUUGGUCCUCCGAUCCUCCAUGUAUUCGCCCGGCUUCUUUUGCAAUUUAAUCCCCUUUAUCUUCUGGCCAGUACUGCAUACCAACGAGAAAGGUCGAUCCGUGGACCAACUCAUUUACGUACGAUGGACCAAUAUAUGCCUCUUUCUUGGUAUGUAUGUAGUGCGUAGUGCUGACAAUGAUACAAGCAGAAGAGAACAUCAUGCAUGCAAACUACACUGAAGCAUAAUCGAUCCAUAUGAGUGAGAAACUGAGAAUGAACGCGCACCAGACUCAAGCUAAAACCAGCAAAAUAGUUAACAAGUAUACUUAAUUUUUUUGGGUGCAAACACCAAAACAUAAGAAAGAACUACCACACUACUACUAACCGAAAAUAAGUACUUGAGGUGUUCGUCUAUUCACGCGCGUAUCUGCAAGUGCGCACUAUCAUUUUUUUUUUUUUGCCAAGGAAGAAGAAACUGUGUAAAGAAGCAAAAAUGGCAUGAUCUAUAUGUGAAUCAAAGAUGGCAGCCUUUUCUUCUUAAUCCUUUCACUAGUGGAGAUACCUGAGCCACACUAGAGAGAGAUAGAGAGGAGAGAGAUCGAGAGAGCAAGUGAUAGUAGUGUCCCAUUAUUACCUGAGGAUUGCCAUCUUUUGUGUGGCCUGGCCUAGCUUCCUGAUUACCUUUAAAUAUAUCCGUAGCUUUAUUUUGCAAACCCCGGCUGGCUCUCAGAUAACAUACUUAUGUUUUGCUAGUGGCAACAAACGACCAAACCCACCCGCCGGGACUAAUUUAAUCUCAAAUACAGAAAAGCGGGACAGAAAGCAGGGUGCACCAGAAUAUACAUACUUGCAUAAAGAGCAAAAAGAUCGCCUAUAGGUUAUUUUAGUGUCGAAUUAUUGGCAAAGCAAGCGCAGCAUAUGGAUAAGCUCAAUCCAACAGCUAAACAGUGCGUGUGUCAGUGCUAAUGAGCUAUCUCGCUGCAAUUUUUUUUUGUAAAGCUUGGAGAGAAAGAAUAAUGUUCAACUUGAUCACUGAGCUAUCAAGCGUGUUAAACUAUGCAACGGGAAAAUUUUGCUAUUAAAAUCAAUCAAUUGAUAGUGAAGAUAACUUCCCACCCUGUCAUAGCACCAAAAUCAGUCUAGGUAUUUCACAGAAACUGUAGCCCAAAAUCGAAGAAAAAAAUCCCCAACAAGUAGCUCCCAAUCACAGAAAAGGGAACAUUUUUAUAUUUCGAGAGGGGAAUGAGUGAAGCACAAAUUUUGUCUUUUAAUUCCCAAACUAUCCAUCCAGAUUUAUGAGCAUCAAACCAGUAAACCAUCAUACACGCCUUGUGAUUAGAGGGGGUGAAUGAGAGCCAAUCAAAUUAUACUUCCAAACAUUGAAAAUAAACACUGCAUUUUAAUUGAGAUAAAACAAGCGCUCAAACUAAGAACACAUGAACCAGUGAUCUCAUGAUUGAAAAAUGUUCUUAAUACUCACAUGAGAUCAGCAAAACAAACAGAUUGCAAAUCGGGGACCUAAAACUCCGAAUCGCUCCAAAACCGUGUCGCGAACAUGUGUUGAUUUUAGCACCACGAAAUUCUGUUCUUGGAUGUAAAACUUAAGCAAACGAACUCCGAUUGAGAUGAAUUUUUACGCACUUCAGGAGCAAUAUGUUUCCAAGGUCUCCACAAAUUUUUAGCUCGAUCGGACUUGUGACUCAACCGCAGAUUUAAAAUACAGCCAGAAAUUGGGAUUUUGUUGGGGUUUUCUAUUUCGAGUUCAAACUGAGUUCUUCUCAAAUUCCGACCACAAUCUGCUACAACUGAGUGUAAGCAGUGAUCCAAGAGAGGCAACUCACCACCAACCAAUCCCCAAACCAAUUCCUCUCAAAGGAAUUAAAGGGUUUCCACAAAACCACAAGAGAGGGGAAGGGAAGAACACAAGCAAGAAAAGUUUCCAAAUUUCAGCAAGG
rnacentral:lncRNA from 1 species